rnacentral:rRNA from 1 species
UACUAAAGGUGCGAGCGUUAAUCGGAAUUACUGGGCGUAAAGCGCGCGUAGGCGGUUUGGUAAGUCAAAUGUGAAAUCCCCGGGCUCAACCCGGGAACUGCAUUCGAUACUGCCAGGCUAGAGUGUGAAAGAGGAUAGUGGAAUUCCGGGUGUAGCGGUGAAAUGCGUAGAUAUCCGGAGGAACAUCAGUGGCGAAGGCGACUAUCUGGUUCAACACUGACGCUGAGGUGCGAAAGCGUGGGGAGCAAACAGG